rnacentral:rRNA from 1 species
UACGGAGGAUGCAAGCGUUAUCCGGAUUUAUUGGGUUUAAAGGGUGCGUAGGCGGGUUUUUAAGCGUGAGGUGAAAUGCUCCGGCUCAACCGGAGAACUGCCUCGCGAACUGGGGACCUUGAAUGACACUGCCGUGGGAGGAAUGUGUGGUGUAGCGGUGAAAUGCAUAGAGAUCACACAGAACACCGAUUGCGAAGGCAUCUCACGAAGUGUUGAUUGACGCUGAGGCACGAAAGCGUGGGGAUCAAAC